rnacentral:tRNA from 1 species
GCCCUGGUGGGGGAAUUGGUAGACACAAGGGAUUUAAAAUCCCUCGGCGUUCGCGCUGUGCCGGUUCAAGUCCGGCCCGGGGCACCA